rnacentral:rRNA from 1 species
AACGAACGCUGGCGGCAGGCCUAACACAUGCAAGUCGAACGCCGUAGCGAUACGGAGUGGCAGACGGGUGAGUAACGCGUGGGAACAUACCCCUCGGUUCGGAAUAACUCAGGGAAACUUGAGCUAAUACCGGAUAAGUCCGAGGUUUUAAUCGACCUUGGAGAAAGAUUUAUCGCCGGAGGAUUGGCCCGCGUCUGAUUAGCUUGUUGGUGAGGUAAUGGCUCACCAAGGCGACGAUCAGAGCUGGUCUGAGAGGAUGAUCAGCCACAUUGGGACUGAGACACGGCCCAAACUCCUACGGGAGGCAGCAGUGGGGAAUCUUGCGCAAUGGGUGAAAGCCUGACGCAGCGACGCCGCGUGAGGGAUGACGGCCU